AGGGUUUUUCAUCCAAUUGUAUGCAAGUUGGUCAUGUUUGAUAUCUAUGCACCAAUUUGAGGGGGAGUGUUGUAAUAUGGGUAUAAAGCUAUUUAUGAACUUAA